UACGUAGGGGGGCAAGCGUUGUCCGGAUUUAUUGGGCGUAAAGGGCGCGUAGGCGGCCCGGUAAGUCAAAGGUGAAAUCCCCUCGGCUCAACUGAGGAACUGCCUUUGAAACUGUCGGGCUUGAGGCCGGGAGGGGGUAGCGGAAUUCCCAGUGUAGCGGUGAAAUGCGUAGAUAUUGGGGAGGAACACCAGUGGCGAAGGCGGCUACCUGACCGGUCUGACGCUGAUGCGCGAAAGCGUGGGUAGCAACGAGG
rnacentral:rRNA from 1 species